GUGAAUCUUCAAAGUCGGCUCGUCGGAUUGUGCUGGUGGGAGACCACAUGUGCACGUCUGCGAGUCGCAAACCCACACACCUGUGCAUCUAUGACUCUGAGUGCCGCUUUGCAUGGCCCCUUGAUUUGGGCCUGGCGCUCGAGUACUUUCACACACUCUCGAAUGUAACGGAAUGUCUUGUUGUGCAUAAUGUACAAACAGAAA
rnacentral:misc_RNA from 1 species